CCACGGUGCAGGCGCAGCUCCAGGCUGUGUUCCAACGGGACUGGAGCUCCAAAUACAGCAGGGACAUCCGCACCGUGGGCCAGUGGGAAACCCUCUGCCGCCCUCACGAGGCGGCUGCCCGCUGAGGACGGAUGGGAGGAGAGGCUGGCCUCACAGAGCCACCGCGUGUCCAGGACGCACGUCAGGGCAGCCCGGCCUCCCCGACACGGCAAACGCGGCAGGCCUGGCACGCCCCUUGCGGUGUCGCCUGGCGGUUGGUUGGAUCUGCAAUGGCGUUAGCCUUGUUUUGAGUUCUGGUGGCUCUCUGGCACGCAAGGACGCCCCGUCCGCCAACACUAACAGCCCAGCCAGCCCAGGGACGCGGCUUCCUUCUCUCUGCAGUACCCGCCCCAAAAUCCCUGUCACUCCCAUGCCGUACGCCCCCCCUUUUCCCCGUCCCUAGGGCUCAAGGUGCAACCCUGUUCAUGGAAAUCCCCCUCAGCCAAUUCCGAGGGCUCAGGGCGUAACUCUCAGCAGCUUUCACCACUGAACUAGCCUCCCACAGUAAUGGCCUCACUCUCUGUGGGUUAGCAAUUCCCAGGCCAGCAGACCGCACGUGCCAAGCACCCAAAGCCCCAGCCUGAGCCAGGCAGCAGAACUUCCCCUGGUGGUGUGACGAUGCGUAGGGGUUUUCCCCGUCUCCUGCACCCCCAAAGUGGCACGAACAGACUCCACCAGCCAGUAGAACAGAGGGAGUUUAUUGCUUCUCCAGGAUACAGCACAGCGCAGAUGUCAUCUGGUUCCAGGGCAGGCCUAGGAUGCCUCAGCCCCCCUUGAGAUGGGGGGGGGUCUUAGCUCCUAAACCCCAGCCUGUUGCUUAGGCUGCUUCCUCCAUGAUACCAGACAGAGACUAACCCCCUCACCUCCAGCCCUGCCCCCCAGCCAGGGACGGCAUUCCACGUUCCUUUGUUUCUCCCCCUGGGGGGUAGCUGGUCAGACAGGUUUGGAGCCCCCUUUGCAUAAUGACUCACCCCCUGCCCUGCUGGGUCGUGCUACAGACAGCAGAGGUGGCCCACACUACCUCACAGGCGGCCAGGCCAGGUCGGUCUCGUCCAGUCGCUGCCCAUCCCGGUCGUGCAGAGGAGUCGUAUGCUGCGUCUUGGGGGCCGGGUCUUCCCUCCCUCUGCUGUCUCUUCCUCCUCCUCCUGUCUUGCUAGUCUCCUUCGUGGACCCCAGUUUAUAGAGUGAAACUUGAGUCCUGCUUAGCUCUACCACGACUGAUUAUUUUACUCACCAACCCUAACACGCUGCGUAAUUCCCUAACCCGUGAUACUUCACCCUGUCAAUUGAUUUACACCAAGCAAAGUUCAUUAUACAGUCCAUAGAAACCAUCAAAAACCAGACAGCGUUCAGGCCAGUCAUAGGAAAGUGAGGCCCAUCACAAAGCAACGAGGAUUUCCCAACUCCAGCUACUGAGAAGGAGUUUCUUGCCAGGGGAGAUGCUGUCAUAACAGGGGCAGCCCUAGAUUAGCUGCAAGCACCUGGUGCCCUCCAUGCAAUCGGCACCCCCCCCAAACCCUUCAAUGAUAUUUGGCGCCCCAUUUAACUUGGUGCCCUAGGCAACCUCCUAGUUGGCCUAUACGGACAGGCCUCCCCUGGCUGUCAAACUAAGUUUUCUUUCACCAUCAGUAUGUCUAGACGACAGGCUUUUGUCGACAGAAGUUUUCUAUCGACAAAGCUUCUGUCGACAAAGAGCAUCUAGACGACAGCUAGUUCUGUCGACACAGCAAGCCGCUUUGUCGACGUGAGAGCAUAGACGCAAAGGACGGUGUAGCUGCGAUAACGCCUUCUGUCGGCAGAACGCUGUCGGCAAGAGACGUUAUUCCUCGUAGAAUGAGGUUUACUGCCGUCGACAAAACUGCCGAGUUCUGUCGCCGUUGUGUCGACAGAACUCAGCGGCAGUGUAGACGCAGGGAUCGUUUUGUCGGCAAAACCCUGUAGUCUAGACACACCCCUUGAGAGCAAGCUCUUUAUCUGGGGACAGAGGGCUUCUGAGCAGCCUGGUGCGACACUUUUAGAUGGAUGCAACUUCCUGCUUUUCAGCUAAUGGCUGCUGCUCCUUCCCUCUGGCU